rnacentral:rRNA from 1 species
UACGGAGGGAGCUAGCGUUAUUCGGAAUUACUGGGCGUAAAGCGCGCGUAGACGGUUUUGUAAGUCAGAUGUGAAAUCCCUGGGCUCAACCUGGGAACUGCAUUUGAGACUGCAUGGCUAGAGUAUCGAAGAGGGAAGUGGAAUUUCCGGUGUAGCGGUGAAAUGCGUAGAUAUCGGAAGGAACACCAGUGGCGAAAGCGACUUCCUGGUCGAAUACUGACGUUCAUGUGCGAAAGCGUGGGGAGCAAACAGG